UCUGCCAGUCCCUAGAGAUUUCCGUAACACACUUCCCCUCCACGGGUAAGCAACCGGCAUGCACGCAACAGGAUUGCCCAAACUCUCUUCAGAACAGCGGUUCCUGCCCUCAGACUAAUGGUAACUUGCAAUAGGGCCUCUGAAGAAGCCUCUAAAUCCUUAAUCUUCAAGCUGCAGAGGAGAAAAAGACGAAAUCUAGAGAGUUCCAGUGGAACCAAAGCUGUGAUCAAUAACAAGGAGGCAACUUCCUGCUGCGCCCAAAGCUUGCUUCCUGCGCCUUCUCUCUCCCAGAAGAGGAAGAAACAACAACAACAAAGAAGAUUAGGAAAUGAUGACACAAAGGAUGACCUCGCUUCUCUUAAUUCUCCAUUCAGUCUCAUAUCUUUGCUUUCGUGAUAGGGCACCAAUUAAUCAAUUAAGUUUGAAAUUGUGGUCCAGGUUGAUUAAUUAUUUCUCUCUGUGUGUCUCUGUCUCUUUGUCUCUGUCUCUCUCUCUCUGUCUCUGUCUCUCUCUGUCUCUCUGUCUCUGUCUCUCUGUCUCUCUCUGUCUCUGUCUCUCUGUCUAUGUCUUUCUCUGUCUCUGUCUCUCUGUCUCUCUCUCUUUCACUCUCUCUUGCUCUCCUUCUCUCCCCUCCCCUUUCUCUGUAUGUAGAAGUAUGAGUGCCUGUGUACAUUCAGAGGUAUAUGCUUGUGCGCAUUGAUGCUUAUAGAAGUCAGAGGUCAACAUCAUAGACCAGCAUACACUUCAUAUACACCAUAUACUUUGCCUUACAUUCUUUUGAGGCACUGUCUCUCAGUUAACCUGAUUUGGUUUGAGUGUCUCUGAGAUUCUGUCUCUGCCUCCCCAGUGCUUGGAUUAAAGUGUCCAUUAACACCCUCAGCUCUUUUAUGUGGGAACUGGGACCAAACUUCAGUCCUUCUCUUUGCACAGCAAGCACAUCAAUGGCUGAGCAGUCACACAGCCCUUGAGUUUCUCACCCCUUCUCAACUCUGUGAAGCAUCACCUUUUCUUGUCCCGUAGAGUCUGAGAAAGUUUCUCUGUUGCUAGACUGUGGUGUGCCUUGUAGAUGAGGUAUUUCCCCCUUUGUAAAGAAAAUCAAACCACCUGACAAACCACAGGGCAAGACAAUAAAAAGUGUGAAACUUCUCCUCAUACUGGAGCCAAGGAGACUUUUCUUUCAAGACCAUAGUCCAGAAGCUUCUACUUCUGACUUCAAGCCAGACAAUGACUCUGGAAGCCAGGAAGUUCUAAUUUGUUCUGCUCCAUUUGAACUUACCAUAAGGUAUAUUAGAAGCUCAAGAAAAAUAUAAUACAAUUUAAAAUGACGUCACUUCCUGAUGUCAUUUUAGGCUGAACUAGGGGGCAAUUGCAAAAAGUAGAAUUCAGAGGCUCAUGCGAAUCCACACGCCCAACUGGCCUUGAUGCCCUCCACCUUAGCCAGAAGUGUCCUCCUGUUCCCUAAAGGGCCAGGCUUUCCCAGGCUGCCUCUCCAGACAGAGUCUGCAGUGACCAUGGUUACAAAACUGUCUCCUCUGUAUCUAGAGCUCUCCUAGGAUGAUGCUAUUUAAAUUCAUUGAGCUCGAUGCCUCAUUUGUAAAGAAGGACUAAUAAUGACUCCCUCGGUGGGUAAUUAUAAAUGUUAAAUUACAACAUGAGAAGUUAUUAAUUAAUUACAGCCAUUAUUAUUUAUAACAAUGAUAACAGUAAGACAGAUCAUUUAGCACCUAACAUACUAAAGAGUGACGCCAAAAACAUUGAGUGAAAAUCAGGCCGUAGGAACCAUUGGAACAAACAGUAGUCCUGGUCCUAAAAGCAAAGGUCCCUGCUGUGUCCCACAUACAAGCUUUGGUUGCUAGGUUGAGGGGUUUGGUGUGAGACUAGAGGGGGAUUUGCAGGUGAAGUAUUUGUCAGGCUUCAACGUUAUAUACCACUGAAAGGAGAACUUGUAAAGUAUUUCAAGGCCAAAUUUGCUCAUCGCAAGAGAAGCAGAUUAACUAUUAACCUUGCAUCUACUACUGGGCUUAUCAUGUUAUCAGCACAUGACGUGUUCUCACUAGAUUACAAGUGAAUAAAGGUUGACACCAGGUCAUGUGCUCUGACUUGUCCAAUAACAAGGUCAGGUAUCUAAAGUCCUAAACAGUUGUUGUUUGAGUGCCAGUCAAAAAAUACUGUGUAUUUUUCCUAUGUAUCAUUCAUACUCCAGUACCUUUUAAAAAGGUAUUUGUGAUGGGUUAACAUAUAAAAAUACUAAGGAGUUGGGAAUCCUAUUAGUCGAAGGUAACAAUAAAGGCAUUUAUUAAUAAAAUGCGGUGUGCCAAAUUGUGAGGAGUCACCUUCACAGAGAAUGGAGUCUUGUGACAACCAUAACAAAAUUCAUAUGAAGCUCAAGAAGAAGUAAGACCAAAGUGUGGAUGCUUCAGUCCUUCUUAGAAGGGGGAACAAAAUACGAACAGGAGGUAGAGGGUGGAAGGGACUUGGGAGGAAGAUAGAAGGGAGAGGGGCAAAAACAGGGAAGGAUCAGGUUUGGGAGGAGAUGGGGAUGAUACACAGAGGGUCAGGAAAUCGAACAGAGGGGUGUAGCAAUGGGGAUGGAGAACUGGGAGUAGCCACCGGCAAGUCAUAGGUGCCAGGAAAGCAAGAGGCUCCCAGAACCCAAAGGGGUGAGAUUAGCUGAAAUUUUCAGAUGCCCAACAAAGGGGAAGGAGAAUGUGUACAGACCUUAUCCAGAUAUUAAGCAAGGCCCCCAGGUUGGGGGAUGGGACUGCCCACUCAUCUCCACAAAUUGUUGACCCAGAAUUGCUCCUGUCUAAAGAAAAUACAGAGACAAAGUGUGGAGCAGAGACUGAAGGAAAGGCCAUCCAGAGACUUCCCCACCUGGGGAGCCAUCCCAUAUACAGAUAUCAAAUCCAGACACUAUUGAGGAUGCCAAGAAGUGCUUGCUGGCAGGAGCCUGAUACAGUUGUCUCCUGAGAGGCUCUGACAGAGCCUGGCAAAUACAGAGAGAAGGGGGACCCCAACCGAGGAGUUAGAGAAAGGACUGAAGGAGCUGAAGGGGUUUGCAACCCCACAGGAAGAACAACAAUAUCAACCAUCCAGAUCCCCCCAGAGCUCCCAGGGACUAAAUCACCAACCAUGGAGGGACCCAUGGCUCCAGGAGCAUAUGUAGCACAGGAUGGCCUUGUUUGGCAUCAAUUGGAGGAGAGGCCCUUGGUCCUGUGAUGGCUCAAUGUGUAGGGGAAUGCCAUGGUGGAGAGGUGGGGGGCACCCUCAUUGAGACAGGGGUUGGGGGCAUGGGGUUUCCAGAGGGGAAACUGGGAAGGCGGAAUAACAUUUGAAAUGUAAAUAAAUAAAAUAUCCAAUAAAGACAAAAGGAAAUAGGAGUCAAAUCUAGACAGAACAUGUGGCUGAUUGCUGGGUGAAGGUUUCUUCCUUCCUCUUUCCUUUCUUCCUUUCUUUCUUCCUUUCUUUCUUUCACUCUUUCUUUCUUUCCUAAAAGAGUGUGUCCCUUAACUGGUCAACUAAUUAGAAAGAAGUUAUAGGGUAAGCUUGGAGUGUUCUAUUUGGAUAAGGAUGAAAAGAACUCAGGGUUGGAUUUCAUUCUGGUCACUAUGACUCAGAAUGUCAAGCUAGAUUUUUCUGAAAUGGGGGCAACUAUAAAAUCAGGGAGUUGCUCAAUCAGAGCUAAGCUUUGAGAAAUGUGAUUGGAAGUCUGCAACUGAUGUCUGUCCAGUGGGUAAGCUCAGGAGUCAGUGAAAUGAAUGCAUAGCUUUCAAGGAGCAUCGCCCCUCUUAUGGCUUGAGUGUGGAAUCAUUUAUUUGAUAAGUACUUGGCCCCCAGCUAGUGACAUUGUUUUUGGAAGUUAUAGAAUGUCUGAGUCUCAUGACAAAGCUGGUAAAUGUAGGUCACCAUGGUCAAGGUUUUGAGGGCCAUAAUCUAGCCUAAGUUCUGUAGGCUUCUGAUUCUCUACUCAUCUUGAUGUGAACAACUUCCAUCACAUGAUAAUUCUACCUGGACUUCUGCCAUGCCUUCCCCCACAGGAUGGGCUGAAACUGUGACCCAAAAUCAACCUUUCUUGCCUUAAUUUUGUUUUUGUUACUUUUGUCAUGGCAACAAGAAAGGGAACUAAUAGUUCCUUCAAUAUCAUGUUAGGUUUUCCUUAACUAAGGAAAAAGAGUCUAGCUAACUGAUGAGCGUUCCAAGUUCAGCGAGAUCAAAGGAUGGACAUAAAGUUUAAGAGGGAGGAAAAUAUAUGAGUUUACCUUUGAUUUCUACACAUGCACAUCUGGGUGAACACACUUACACUUACAUACAUGAACAUAGGUAU